rnacentral:lncRNA from 1 species
GUAAAUAGUGAGUUCAUUGAAAAGUCCCCUCAAAAGAAGAGAAGAGGCUAGAGAGAGCCAGCAGUUGAGGGCUUGCCGCUCUUGCAGAGGCCCGGGAUUAAGGGCACACACACCUGUAACUCCAGGUCAUGGGGACCCUAUGGUCUUGUCUAGCUAAGGAGAGCAUUAGACACACACCUGGUGCACUUAGAUACAAUAAAACUAAAUUUUUAAGUGUUUAAAAAUAGUGUGUGCCACCAUGCUCAGCAAGAUCUGUUUUAUAAAAAUGCUAUCUUUCUAAGUUCUCACCAAAAGGCCAGUAUAACUUCCUUUGGUUUAGCCAAAUAAAAGUUAUAAUUCAAUCAAGUGGUAUGCAUUAAGCUCUCCUUAAUGAAAGUGCCUUGCACAUGGGA